CAUCGAAAUAACAACGCUGGCAUUUGUAAGGUGUGGUACAGAUGCGAGAUAAAGCACCUAAGGUGAACGGUAAGGUCGGUUUCCAGCCCGCCAGAUCCCGAAAAUCAAUUGGAAAAUAAGCAUGUAGAAGGCAUAAUUUGCCACGCAACUGGACAAGGGUUCGAACCCCUUCGGCUCCACAA
rnacentral:tmRNA from 1 species